rnacentral:rRNA from 1 species
GACGAACGCUGGCGGCGUGCUUAACACAUGCAAGUCGAACGGAAAGGCCUUUUCGGAGGUACUCGAGUGGCGAACGGGUGAGUAACACGUGGGUGAUCUGCCCUGCACUCUGGGAUAAGCCUGGGAAACUGGGUCUAAUACCGGAUAGGACCGCACUUUAGUGUGUGUGGUGGAAAGUUUUUUCGGUGUAGGAUGAGCCCGCGGCCUAUCAGCUUGUUGGUGGGGUAAUGGCCUACCAAGGCGGCGACGGGUAGCCGGACUGAGAGGUUGGUCGGCCACAUUGGGACUGAGAUACGGCCCAGACUCCUACGGGAGGCAGCAGUGGGGAAUAUUGCACAAUGGGCGCAAGCCUGAUGCAGCGACGCCGCGUGGGGGAUGACGGCCUUCGGGUUGUAAACUCCUUUCGCCAGGGACGAAGCGUUUUGUGACGGUACAUGGAGAAGAAGCACCGGCUAACUACGUG